UGCUUCGGCCGGGAAUCGAACCCUGGCCGCCCGCGUGGCAGGCGAGCAUUCUACCACUGAACCACAGAUGC